rnacentral:rRNA from 1 species
UACGUAGGCAGCGAGCGUUGUUCGGAAUUACUGGGCGUAAAGAGUGUGUAGGCGGUGCUCUAAGUUCGGUGUGAAAUCUCCUGGCUCAACUGGGAGGGUGCGCCGGAAACUGGAGUGCUUGAGCGUGGGAGAGGAAAGCGGAAUUCCUGGUGUAGCGGUGAAAUGCGUAGAUAUCAGGAGGAACACCUGUGGUGUAGACGGCUUUCUGGACCAUAGCUGACGCUGAGACGACGAAAGCGUGGGUAGCAAACAGG